rnacentral:lncRNA from 1 species
GAAAAUAGAGUAAUUGGAGACUGCUAGUUUGUGUUGCAAAUUUAUGGUUUUGGAUUGAAUGGCUUAUGAUAAUAAAUGAGCAUGAAUGGCUAAACUGAUUUUGGUGUUAGAAUUAUUUAUACUGUGUAUUCAGCCUUCAGAGGCUAGGUUGCGAUAAAUUGCCAUGUCAUGCUAGAAUGAAUUUUAUUGAUUAGUGGAUUAUAUAUUAAUUAUUUACUGCAGAGGGGGUUCCAUGGACCAGCCUAUUAGAGGGGCACGGUAAACUCCAUUAUAUUAUUACCUUGAACGGAGAGGCGCGUAGGGUAUCUCUUGGGGUAAAGCUUAGGGUUCACUUCACGCCAAACCACCACGUGAAGGGGAACUCAGCCAACGCCAAGGAACGACUGUAUUUUUCUCAAACAAAAA